rfam:Triticum aestivum genome assembly, contig: Triticum_aestivum_CS42_TGACv1_scaffold_526556_6DL
GUUGUACUCCCUCCGUACUAAAUUACUUGUCCAUAAAUAGAUAGAAAUUGAUGUAUCUAGAUUUAAAAAUACGUCUAGAUACAUUCAUUUUUACGACAAAUAAUUCGGGGCGAAGGGAGUAUUAA